AAUUUCUCAACACUUAUAUGAAAUUUUCAACAAAAACCAAAUUGUGCAAGUUUGUUGCCUCCAACCAAACUAUUGCAAAAUUUCUCCAAGCAAAAUCCACUUCCAACACAUUGUUACCCCAAGCCUUGACCAAAAAGGAAUACCUUUUGUUUAUGGUUGAAAUGCUCAAUUCAAUGGACUCUGAAUCAGAAGACGAAAAGUAAAAAACAUCAUGAAUCAAAACGGUCAAUCUUGCAGAUGAAACUACAACGACGACAUUCACUAAAACUUAGAAGAAGUUAUCUACAAAAAGAAGUCUGGAAACACGAAUCAACAAACACCGGUACAAGCUCUAUAAAAUAUUCCAAAGUAGUAUGUGUCAAUGAAUAAAUUCUCUUUCAAAUUUGUUAUAGUGUGUGUUAGGGAAUAAAUUCUCCUUCAAAUUUUUCAAUAGUGUAUGCGUUGGGAAAUAGAUUCCCAAACAAGAAUAUUUUUUUUCUCAUUUGUAAUAGUUGUGUUAAGGAAUAAAUUCCCUUUCAAAUUAGUAAUAGUGUUAAGGAAUAGAUUCUCUAAUAGAAAAAGAUUCAAAUGUAUAAUAAUGUGUACCAAGGAAUAGAUUCCCGAAUAAUCUCAUUGUAAAAGAGGCAAGAGCCCUCUAUAAAAGGCUUUGAAUUGGUAAUGGUUGAGACAUGCUUUCUAUGACCGAGUCAAAGCCUUUUACAAAUACCUCUUGCCUAUUUUACAAUGACAUUAUUUGGGAAUUUAUUCCCUGAUACAUAUUAUUACAAAAUUGAUAUAUUUUUUCUAUUAAGAGAUCUAUUCCCUGACACUAUUACAAAUUUGAAAGGAAAUUUAUACCCUAAGACAACUAUAAUAAUGUGAAAAAUAUUUUCUUGUUGGGAAACUAUUCCCUGACACACUAUUGCAAAUUUGGAAGAGAAUUUAUACCCUAACACACACUAUUAAAAAUUUGAAAGGGAAUUUAUUCCUUGACACACUACUUUGGAAUCUUUCGUAGAUUUUCUACUAAUGCAUGUUGAUUUGUGUUUCUAAACUUCUUGUUUAUAUCUUAGAUCACUUCUUGGUUUUAGUGAUUGUUAACAUUGUAGUGCCAUAUGCAAGAUCCACCAUUUUGAUUGAAGUUGUUGAUGACUUUUUGUUGUCUGAAUCCAAGUCCAUUGAGCUGAGCAUUUCAACCAUAAGAUUCUGGUUUUUUUUUUGUCUUGGCUUGGGCUAAUAAUGCACUGGUAGAAUAUUGCGCUUGGAGAAUUUUUGUAGUAGUUUGGUUCAAGCAACGAACUUGCACAAUCUUGUAUUUAAAAAAAAGUAACCUAACUAUUGGGAAUUAUACUUCUCGUCAUUGAAUUUGUCCCACCAUUUUGUUCUAAAAUUUCGAACUAACAUUACGAUACCAUAGUAUUAGUUUGAGUCAUAACUAUAAUGCCAAGAUACAAUCCAUGAUAUGCAUAAAUUGGAGAAAAAAUGAAUUUGUUUUGUAGAUUUUUUUGUUUAAUCUAGUUUUGGUUGGAAUUUGAUACUGUGCCAAAUCGACAUAUUUAUGUGCUUUAUUUUGAUAAAAUUUUAGGUACGAUGUUACUAAUUUUGGUGUUUUUUGCCUAAUUUUUAUGUAGGUACAGUACAAGCCCAAAAUCUCGACAAAAAAGUGAAGAUAGUGGGUUGCAUGAAGAUUUGGGCAUAGGCACAAGAAAUUGACGUACAAAGGCUUUUUAGACUUUGGGAUUAUUUUCUAUUUUUAUUUGUAAAAAAUAUAUUUUUAGGAGUUCAAUUAAGAUUGAAUUUUAUCAUUUAUCUUUUAUUUAGAUAGAUAAAUAUUUUAUCUUAACGAGUGUUUAGGAGUAAAACUAGGCAUUUGUUUUCAGCUGAAAAAGAGGAGGUUUGAGGUUGUACCUCAAUCACUAUAAUUGACUUAUUGAUGGGUGAGAAGAUACUUAUAAUUAGUGAUCAAUUGUGAAACUGAGUCUAUCAUUACAUCGGAGGUCGGAGCUUUUAUUAAUUGAUUUUAUUCUACUUAUUUUUAAAAUUACUAUUUAUUUCUUGAUUUACU
rnacentral:lncRNA from 1 species